rnacentral:lncRNA from 1 species
ACUGAAUUGAAAUGCAGGACAUUAUUCGUAAAGUUUCAUAAAACAAAUCGAACGAGUUUAUUAUCUCGUGAAGCUUUAGAAACUGACUACAAAGGUUUUUUUAAUUUAGUAGUUUUAUUAAUUAUUAUAAUAAAUUUGAAAAUAUUUAUAGAUAAUAUUAAACAGUAUGGUUUUAAAAUAAAUUUACCUAGUUAUUCAAAAUUAAUAAGCAAUUUACCCUUAUUUAUAUGCUUUAUUUGUUUAAACAUAAGUGUUAUUUUCAGUUGGUUUAUAGAGAGGUAUGUCGCUUGUUGGCUAUCUACUUGCGUAGAUAAUAAAAAAAUAGAUGACUGGAAUUAUAAUAAUGCAAGUAGUAAUAGUACUAAUCAUGUGAAAAUUCAUGAUGAUCAAACUGAUAGUCAAUUAAAUAAUUAUGAAAAAAAAGAUGGUAUUUUUAUCAAAGGUAGUAAAAAUAAAAAUAAAAAAAACGUACUUCGAAUAAGAGACAUAUUAAAAAGAGAAAAACAUAUAAAUGUAUUAAAAAAUAAUAGUAACGACAGUAUUUACGAAAAUCCCGAUAACAGCAUUGAACAGAGUAUUGAUGAAGAAAUUGUUAAGAAAAAAACAAAAGAAAGUACUAAAGACAGUAUCUACGACAUUAGUAACUCUAGCAGUACUGGAAUUAACAACGGAAACUGUAACUAUAUUGAUAGCAACUGCAUAAGUAGCGAUUGUAUGGGUAGCAGUAGUAUCAAUUAUAGCUACAUUAAUAAUGACAUUAUUAAAAGCAACAACAACUUGAAACUUGUUAGUACAAACAAAAAAUGGACAACACAUGGAUGGAAAAAUUUCCAUUUAUCUAUUUUUUUAUUAAGAUGUAUUAAUAGCAUUUUUAUUAUAUUUUUUCCAUAUUUGAUAGUAUCAAGAUAUAACUUAGAACCAAUACUGUCUAUGCUAUUAUUAACAACAUCUGUUGUAUGGUUUUUUAAAAUGUAUUCUUAUCAUCAAGUAUGUUCUGAAACGAGGAAAUUAUAUAUAGAUAAUGUUGACUUAAAUAGUUUUGAUGACCCUUCAUUGGAUAUUCAAUACAUUAAAACAUAUCCAUAUUGUUUGAAUUUAAAAAAUCAUUAUACAUACAUAUUAAUGCCAACCAUGUGUUUUCAAUUUACAUACCCACGAACAGAAAAAAUCAGAUGGUUACAGGUAAUAAAACAUAUAAUAAACAUAGCUUGUUUACUAUUAAUGAUAAAAACAACAUCUGAAAAAUAUAUAUAUGAAAAAAUUGAAAAUAUUUUUCUUAAAGAGGAAUUUAAAUCUUUUCAAAUAAAUAUUAAAAUGGUUAUAUAAUAGAAAGAUUAGUACAAGUUUGUGUUCCAACUUUACAUCUUUGGUUAAUUGGUUUUUUAAUUGUAUUUCAUUAUUGGUGUAAUAUAUUAGCUGAGCUGACUAAAUUUGGUGAUAGAUUAUUUUAUAAAGAUUGGUGGAAUGCAAUAUCUUUCGCAGAUUAUUGGAGAAAAUGGAAUUUACCAAUACAUUUUUUUAUACACCGCCAUAUUAAUAAACCAUUAAUAUACUAUGGUUUGAACA